CAGGAGUUCAGUUGAGUGGGGUAGACAGAACCGACAGUAGAUACUGACAAUAACAAGGUCUCUCUCUGUCACCCAGGCUGGAGUACAGUGCUGUGGUCAUAGCUCACUGCAGCCUCGAACUCCUGGGCUCAAGUGGUCCUCCAUUCAUUUCUGUGUCCUCAGUCUCCAGCACAGGACCAGCCAGGCACAGAGAGGGACUCAUUGGAGAAGUGUGGCCUUUCUCAAGCAGGAGAGAGGCGAGGAGGAGCUGGAGCACCGGCAGGGGUGGA
rnacentral:lncRNA from 1 species